rnacentral:rRNA from 1 species
AGGGCGAACGCUGGCGGCGUGCUUAACACAUGCAAGUCGAGCGGUAAGGCCUUUCGGGGUACACGAGCGGCGAACGGGUGAGUAACACGUGGGUGAUCUGCCCUGCACUUCGGGAUAAGCCUGGGAAACUGGGUCUAAUACCGGAUAUGACCUCCUAUCGCAUGGUGGGUGGUGGAAAGAUUUAUCGGUGCAGGAUGGGCCCGCGGCCUAUCAGCUUGUUGGUGGGUAAUGGCCUACCAAGGCGACGACGGGUA